GUAGGUGGCAAGCGUUGUCCGGAAUUAUUGGGCGUAAAGCGCGCGCAGGCGGUUCUUUAAGUCUGAUGUGAAAGCCCACGGGCUCAACCGUGGAGGGUCAUUGGAAACUGGAGAACUUGAGUACAGAAGAGGAAAGCGGAAUUCCACGUGUAGCGGUGAAAUGCGUAGAGAUGAGGAGGAACACCAGUGGCGAAGGCGGCUUUCUGGUCUGUAACUGACGCUGAGGCGCGAAAGCGUGGGGAGCAAACAGGAUUAGAUACCCUGGUAGUCCACGCCGUAAACGAUGAGUGCUAAGUGUUAGGGGGUUUCCGCCCCUUAGUGCUGCAGCUAACGCAUUAAGCACUCCGCCUGGGGAGUACGGCCGCAAGGCUG
rnacentral:rRNA from 1 species